UUCCUCACAGUCUGAUAUAAAGAUUCAUCAUCAGGCUGUGAGUCAGAGAAGAAGAGAAGCUCCAUCAUGUCAGGUUCAACACCAACCAUGUUGCCUGUAGCUCUGCUGCUGCUGCUGGCUGCUGGAUCCUGUGUGCACUGUAUUGAUCUCAUCACACCAGGCUCAAUGGUUGUGCAGCCUGGACAGACUCUGACCCUCACCUGUCAGGUCUCUGGUUACUCUCUGACUGAUAACAGCUAUGCAACAGGUUGGAUCAGACAGCGUGAAGGAAAAGCACUGGAGUGGAUUGGAAUGAGUUUUGGAUCCACCACUCUACAAAGAUUCACUGAAGAAUCAAUGAUGGACUAUAGGACAGGACUGCUGCUUUUUACUGUCUGCUUGGCAGGUGUUGAUGGUCAGACUCUGACAGAAUCUGAAGCAGUGGUUAAAAGGCCUGGAGAAUCCCACAGACUGACCUGUUCAGCCUCUGGAUUCACAUUCAGCAGCUACUGGAUGGCUUGGGUCAGACAGGCUCCUGGAAAAGGACUGGAGUGGAUCGCUAUUAUUAGUAGUGGUGGUAGCAUCUACUACUCUAAUUCAGUUAAAAGCCGGUUCACCAUCUCCAGAGACAACAGCAGACAGCAGGUGUAUCUGCAGAUGAACAGUCUGAAGACUGAAGACACUGCAGUGUAUUACUGUGCCAGAGACCCACAGUGA